rnacentral:lncRNA from 1 species
UAGUAUAUAAGGCCAGGCAGCAAGCAGCUCAUGACAGUUAUUAUCAGGCAGACUAGCACAAAUAGGUUACUAAAACCAGAUCCAGCUUGAUUUAUCUAUUUUCUAUUGCCAGAUUUCAAAUAAAAAUAGGUAAUAGUGAGCUGCCAUGAACCUCGAAUUUAUCCUUAUUGGGAGCAUUGUGUUUGCAUUCAUUUUCUUCAUCCUAAAAGUUUUAAUACAGCAAAUGGAGAAUACUUUGCCAUAAGGAUUAGAGAUAUUGCUGGUGAAUACCACUGAACUUCUCAAGAUCACUCCAUAUGAAAGGCCAUCAAAGCACAUCUACAAUACAUCUAAGAACAACUCCUUCUCAGUCAAACAAGAACAAUGAUGUGGAUCUUUGGGUCAACGAUUUCAGCCAUGUUAUGAUUAUUACAUCCCUACAGAGAGUAGGGAUAUUCAAGGGGAUCCUAGUUGACCUGAACAAUGGCCACUGGCUCAAAUUAAAAAACUCCUAUCUAUGAGAAACCAUUUGGCCACAUUGAGUUUAGGCAAAUACACACUCUGAAUGUUUCAAUAGACAGUGAUUGCACAACCAGCAAAUAAAAUCUUAAAUUAAUUCAAAUCA